AGGGCACCACCAGGAGUGGAGCCUGCGGCUUAAUUUGACUCAACAUGGGAAAACUCACCCGGCCCGGACACCGUAAGGAUUGACAGAUUGAGAGCUCUUUCUUGAUUCGGUGGUUGGUGGUGCAUGGCCGUUCUUAGUUGGUGGAGCGAUUUGUCUGGUUUAUUCCGAUAACGAGCGAGACUCUAGCCUACUAAAUAGUGACCGGAUAGCUUCGUCCGGGUCACUUCUUAGAGGGACAAGCGGUGUUCAGCCGCAAUAAGUUGAGCAAUAACAGGUCUGUGAUGCCCUUAGAUGUCCGGGGCUGCACGCGCGCUACACUGGAGGAAUCAGCGUGCUUGACCCAUUGCCGAAAGGCAUUGGUAAACCCUUGAAAAUCCUCCGUGAUCGGGAUCGGGAAUUGCAAUUAUUUCCCUUGAACGAGGAAUUCCCAGUAAGUGUGAGUCAUCAGCUCACGUUGAUUACGUCCCUGCCCUUUGUACACACCGCCCGUCGCUGCCCGGGACUGAGCCGUUUCGAGAA
rnacentral:rRNA from 1 species